CCUGACCUCAUGAUCCACCCGCCUCGGCCUCCCAAAGUGCUGGGAUUAUAGGCGUGAGCCACCGUGCCCGGCCCGACAAAUCCUUAUUUAUUAACUCAUGUAAGAUAACAAUAAUAAGCCUAUUACAUGUUAAUAAUUGUUGACUGCUUUAUCAAGAACAUUCUUAUGUGAAACCAGCCUUUUCAGUGUGCAGUGGUGAAGAAUGCAUGCAAUACUAAUUGGGUGCCACUGCCUUGAUUUAUGUAAAGCCACAGCAGUUUUACCCCCAUUGCUUUUGCACUUCGAUGCAAUGUGUCAACUCUGUCAAAAAGGCAAAUAACGUAUUAGAAUUAUUAUGAAAAUCGUUUGACCUCAUCUAUGCCCUGAAAAAAUAUUUGGGACUCCCAGGAUUUGCGGACCACACCUUGAGAACUGUUAUGUUACUCAAUGGCUGGCAUACAGUAGGAAUCAGAUAAUUAGUAUGGACUGAAUGGAGAGGCCUGGGAGCUGGGGAGGAAGUGGGGGUCGGGUGGGAACAUAUGGAUGCCUUUCAACCCAGGUGAAAUUUGGGGAUUGUCCACGUGCUCCUCCAUUCCCCAUGUCAGUGUAGACAAAUGUUGAGUCAUAGUUUGCAAAAUGCCUCUCAGCUGGGCCUACAGGAGCACACCACCCCCACCAGCUAAUUCUUUUUUUUCUGU
rnacentral:lncRNA from 1 species